rnacentral:rRNA from 1 species
GCCUACGGGAGGCAGCAGUGGGGGAUAUUGCACAAUGGGGGGAACCCUGAUGCAGCGACGCCGCGUGGGUGAAGAAGCGCCUCGGCGCGUAAAGCCCUGUCAGCAGGGAAGAAAAUGACGGUACCUGAAGAAGAAGCCCCGGCUAACUACGUGCCAGCAGCCGCGGUAAUACGUAGGGGGCAAGCGUUAUCCGGAUUUACUGGGUGUAAAGGGGGCGCAGACGGCGAUGCAAGCCAGGAGUGAAAGCCCGGGGCUCAACCCCGGGACUGCUUUUGAAACUGCGGAGCUGGAGUGCAGGAGAGGUA